UGCAACUCUGAUAUCUUCGUUAAUCUAACUGGUCUUGGGCCUCCGUUUGUGUUGCACCUACCUGGCUGGUGGGAAGCGGGCCGGAGGUGACCUCCGCUAGGGAUUUGUGGUCUCGAAGGGGCGGCGGGAUUUAGUGAAGGGCAAAAUGGCGUCUGCGGGCGGUGCCGGCGCGCUUCUCCAUGAUGAGCACCUUUUCACAGACCUGUACUGAGCUCCGUGAGGAAAAGAAACUCUGAGGAGCCGGGCUUUGUGCAGCCGUCCGCAGGCGUAUUUCCGGAAAGGGGAGCGUGGCGAAAUACCCACCGCUGACCUCAUGUUUUCUUUGCAGGGCUCGCGCGCACGUUGAGCGCUAGAGGAUGGGGAAGGCCUGCCUGGUCGGGAUGUGGCUAAGCUCCAAAGACCAUAAACAUGGCAAGGACGAUCCCUGUGAAGAUCCAGCCUGAUGGUCGUGCCCCAGCAACUCAAUCACCAGUCUGGAGUUGAUCUAUUUCCUGAUGUGAAUAAGGUGGUGCUGAUGGUGGAUUCAUCUCUUGCAAAUGCCUGUUGUGCAGCUCCGCAGGGUCUUUGACUCCCAAGAAAAGUCAAGUGGAGGACCGUGUUCCUGUCUACUGUUCAGAGACCUGUAGUUACAAGGUACUAUUGGCAGUAAUCUGCUUGUUUGCUCCAAGGUCCAACACCUUAUUUAGGACCAGGAGUGAUUUCAGAGAAACUAAAAAGCUGAGUGUCUGCUCAACUCCAUACUAAAAUUAAGGUUUAAAGAAGCAGUGACUAGAAUGCCCAGAAGCAGACCUAGUACUGCUGGCAGAAGCUUGUGGCCCCUUGUGAGCACUGCGGAGUACCUGCAGUUUCCAUCCAGUGGGAAACCAAUUCUCAGAGGACAUGAAGUCUUCUGCAGCCCAACUGUUGAAAUUGGCACACAAUCUUUGCUGAAUAAAGUUGCUUUUUUUU